GCGGAUGGCCGGAUGACCGCGGGUGACUGUCAGGGCGUGCCCAGGCGUGACGCGAGGAAAGUCCGGACUCCAUAAGGCAACGGUGCCGGGUAACGCCCGGCGGGGGCAACCCCAGGGACAGCGCCACAGAGAAAAGACGGCCCUGCAUGUCGGGGUCAGGGUGAAACGGUGGGGUAAGAGCCCACCGCGCGACUGGCAACAGAAGCGGCACGGCAAGCCCCACCGGGAGCAAUGCCAAAUAGGAAUCGCUAGGGGGCAACCCCGGGGCUGCCUUGGCCUUCGCAGAUUCGGGUUGGCAGCUUGAGCGCCCUGGCAACAGGUCGCCUAGAGGAAUGGUCAUCCAGGGUGGAAACACCCGGACAAAAUCCGGCUUACAGGCCGUCCGCGUAU
rnacentral:RNase_P_RNA from 1 species